UACGUAGGGGGCUAGCGUUGUUCGGAAUCAUUGGGCGUAAAGGGCGCGUAGGCGGUCACGUAUGUCUGCUGUGAAAGCGCACGGCUCAACCGUGUGAAGUCGGUAGAAACUGCGGGACUUGAGGCUGGGAGAGGUUGGUGGAAUUCCCUGUGUAGCGGUGAAAUGCGUAGAUAUAGGGGAGAACACUCGUGGCGAAGGCGGCCAGCUGGACCAGCCCUGACGCUGAGGCGCGACAGCGUGGGGAGCAAACAGG
rnacentral:rRNA from 1 species